AUGAAUUAUACAUUUAUCGAGUCAUAUCCCUUUGCCCUCAAUACCGCAGCUGCGUAUAAGGAUAUUCUAAGUCUGGCACCAGAGGAGACGACCCAGGACCUGAGAAGAGGGACACACAGCAACGAGCACCGUAGAUUGGUCCCUGCAGGACCCCUGACACCAAUAAAGCCUAACAUGACAUCUAAAAUGGACGUCCUGGACCCUUCUACUUUGCCCUCCUCUGACGCUACAGGGGUAACCUUUGACCAUAAGUCACAGACAGUGACCUUACCGGGGGGGAUUGUCUCUGUAGCAGGCGUUACCGUGGUGACUGGGGGCUCAGAGAUGACCUGGGGCUCGUGCAUGAUGGCGUUAGGGUUUUGGGGUACUCUCAUUGGGGUGAGCGUACUGGGGCUGGGACUAUGGGACCAAUCCAAUCAGCUGCAGGGGAACACCUCAAACCUGAUGGUGAUUGGCUGCAUGAUUCUGUCCAUCAGCGUUGGGAUGCUGGGCAGCGUUGCCCUGUGCUACCUGCUGAGGAAGAGAAGGAGAGAGAGGACACGGGAGGAGAGGGAGGAAGGGAAGGUGGUACUGGUGGAGGAGACCCGCAGAGUCAUAAAAAGAGUUACUGUAUGAGGUGAAUGAAUCGACGAGAUGGACAGGAGAACUAUAGAGUCCUCCUGCAUGUCGAUUUUUUAUCCUAUUUUGAUAUUUAUCAUGUCAAUUAUCCACAGAUAUUCACUAGCUCUUGCUUCUUUUUUUCUGCUAUUGAAACAUAUUAUAGUGGAUUAUGCUUCCUGACUAGGUCAUAUGCUACACAUAAUAUGCCUUAAAGUGUAAUAACAAGCAGAUUUCAACACACGUCUGCAGUGCCAAACAAAAUAAAAACAAGCGACAGAGGGCAGUGUUUAUUUCGCCAUCUACUGGACUGUUGUAUGGACUACUGUCCAUUAAAAUGGGCCGCGCGCUGCCGGGAGCGAGGCCGUGCAGGGCUCCUCCAUCUCCGGCCGAACACACAAGUGUCUACUGAGCGAAUCUGGACCAGACUCUGACUCCGUAGGAAAUUCGACUUCAUUCCACAUCGCUUUUCCUGCUCGCUUUUUGUGCCUUUGGAUGAUGGGGAAACCCUUUCAAAUACAACAUACUAUCAUAACGACCAGGCAUCAGUUAGGUUAUUAAAAACGUGUACAAUUCAGUUUUCUUAAACUUACAUUUAAGAGGAGGAUCAAAGUGGAGAAGAAACGAAAGGAGAAGACUGAAGUCAAGAGGGUGGAGAGAUGCACAUUGGGAGGCCUGCAAUGCUGUCAAUCAUACUCCCAGAGUUGGUUUGAGACAAGUCGACAAGGUCCCGGUCCCAGGAAACACUUUGGUUAACUCAAACCUAUUACGAACGUUAACAUGAUCUAUUGUCAUAGCCUCCAUUUAAACUGCAUUUGCAUAUUUACAUUUGCAUUAUAUUGUAUUUAGAUUUUUUUUUUUUUGUCAAUUUGUACUAUUGUACUACUGUUUUGUAUAUUAUGUUGUAUCUUAUUUCUCAUUUUGUGCUUUGGCAAUGUGAAUUAACUUUUAUUGCCAUUAAAGUCCUUGUAAAAGCACAUUUUAAUCUAAUGAUAGUUACAUUAUAUAAAUAUUUCUGUAGAUUCUUGUGGUUAGGAUCAUGUCAUGGCCCAUACCAAAAAAAGGUUAACAGUUGUAUAUGGAUAGUGGAAUAUAACAAAGUAAGAUAUAUGCAGUAUAUUGACAGUAUAAUGGUGCUGAUGUAAUAGUUAAGAUGUAUACGUGGAGAACUUUGAACAUGGGCGGCAAUAACAGUAGUACAUAUAUAAUAAUAAUAAUAAUAAGAAGAAGAAGAAGAAGAAGAAGAAGAAGAAAAAGAAGAAGAAGAAGAAGAAGAAGAAGAAGAAGAAGAAGAAGAAGAAGAAGAAGAAGAAGAAGAAGAAGAAGAAGAAGAAGAAGAAGAAUUAUUAUUAUUAUUAUAAUUAUAAAAAUAAUAAUAAUAAUAGUAUUAUUAGUAGUAAUAGUAGUCAUUUAAUAGUUUGAAUAUAAAUUGUGCAAUUGCUCUAUGAUAUGAAUACACUUAAUACAUUAUGGACCUGAUAUGAACAGCAUUGGACAGUGGUAUUAAUAUGAAGACACUGGUAUGUGUAGUAGGGACGGUAGAAUAAACAUGAACAAUUAAGAUGAGAUACACAGAGUAGCUAGUAUGAAAAUGUCUAGUUUCUGGUUGCUUCAUAAAGUAGUUCUUCAAUUAUUUUUAUAUAUUCCAUUGAAAAAAACUCCUGAGUCAUUAUUUUUUGAUUGUGGAUACAGAGUAAUCAUAAUAGAUGAUCUCUCAAUAGAGGCCUCUACAUUACUAACCAGAGGUAAGUCAUUAAUUAGAAACAUCUAGAGGCAAAAUAAUGUUAUAAUAACAUGUCAUAAGGUGUCAGCCAAUAAGUAGCCUGAGUUUUUCUUUUUCUUUUUUUAAACAAGAGCAUAUUAUUACUGCCUUUACAGCUCUAAAUCUUUUCGUAAAUGCGUUUUUCCGCUACAGAAACGGUAAGAAUGCAUUCAACCAGGUAUCACAGGCAUGAUCACAGAUAGAUAGUAUCUAUGUUGCUCGGAUCACCUGAUAUUACCAGGCUUAAAUUGGUCACGUGUCAUCCAGGAAACCUUUUUUUUCUCCUUUGCGAAACAGAGUUGCAAUGACCCGCCUUUACCUCACGUUGAUUGGUCAGAGUUAAGAAGUACAUUGAGCUGAUUGGUGGGACAGAUGACUCUCCUACGAUCAUGUCUAAAUUAAACAACUCCCCUUCUUUAAACGGGUCUAUGUGUAAUUGAUAGCUUCACUCAAAUACAUCGAUAAGAAUUUGUUUAGAUGGUACUAAUUUCAGAAACUUUACGCGAACGGUAGUCAGGUAAGUUUGACCAAAAUUGCACUGGACCACUUUGAAAGGAAGUGCUUACUCCGCCAAAGUUGCUGUCUUCUUGUCUGUCUCUCAGCUAUGUCUCAAGGUGUCUCCUGUCACUUACUUAUGUAUCGAGCGCAACAUGUCCGUGCUAUGUUAUUAUCAAAACGGCAUUGAGUUGUGUGAGUAGUAAACCUGUUGCUGUCAUUCAAUUGGACCAAAGGACAAACUAAGCGCUAUCGUUCUUUCCCUUUCGCUAAGACUCUAAUCGGUCAUGGGGUUGUGUUUAUACUUGCGCUGGGCUGUAUUUGGCUAUAUGCAUAUCUUAAACGACAGUUUUUUUAAAAAACUAAUUACAAGAGUUAUUUCGGAUAUAGCGCUGAAUAUACACACAAGGUGCAUACAUUUAAAAUGGUACUUUAUGCAUCAUUUAGACUCGAGAGCCUGCUGUUCUAAGGUUUUGUGCGCAACACACGUUGUAAGAUAUCAAAAUAUAGAUCAAUAUAAGACUGCAUGUUUAUAGGAAGAAGUUGGUUGCAUCGAUUCUCAAAUUUAUUUUCUUUAAAGAAAGUGUUAUUUGUGCAUUCCUGACAUCAUGAGGGUCAGUAACACAUGCACAGCUUUCGCAUCUACUUUAUGUGUGAGCUGUGACUAUUCCCUGUGAUCUGGUCUUCAAAACGUUUGAUGUUCCUAUCAAAGCCAAGGAACUAAAUCUACAUGUAGGCCUCCUUGUCAUGUUGAAAACCAACGAAUAUAAGCCCUUUCCAAACAUACAAGUCUCAGGAUGGCUGUGGUUUACUAUCGUACUUGAACAUGCCCUUGCAAACUGUAGGAAUCUCACACCAUAGGCAAAUAUUUGUGCUAUAACCCUUACUCUUUCUUUCUUUCUCAGGAUGGAUACCAAACAGCAUUCCCUGAGCAUAACAUUACAGUCCAGUACAGUAGGAUACAGUACAAAAUUAAAAUCUAAGCAUGUCUGGUAGAAGUGUAGUGGGAAAUGGGUGAUACAGGAAGUAGGUAAACUGUGAGUGUAGAUAUGUAUCUGAUUGGCUGGAGAGGUAUUCAUACAGAAAAGCGGAAGCUACUCUUUCAGGUCUGCUCAUAGUAUUUUACGCAUACGGUCAUUCCGUUUGUUUUGGUCAGUUUAGUAAACAUAUUUUGAAAUGGAGUGUAGUGAAAGUAUCCUGUGUAGCGCUGGAGAGCUGGAGUUGGACCCUGACAUUGUGAGUGAAGAAGCAGGCAAGCUGUAUUCUGAACUGCAGGUAAUGGCCCUAACUCAUCAACUAUUUCCUUAGACAUAGCAAAUUUUGUCAACCUUUUGUUGAUAUAAUGACAUUUGCUUGCAUGUGGAGCUUCAUUGGUGCUGGUGAUGUCAUUGGUCUGCAUUAGGUUGAUGAACAGCAUACAUCUGACUGGUUCCUUUGAUCUCUCUCUCUCUCUCUCUCUCUCUCUCUCUCUCUCUCUCUCUCUCUCUCUCUCUCUCUCUCUCUCUCUCUCUCUCUCUCUCUCUCUCUCUCUCUCUCUCUCUCUCUCUCUCUCUCUCUCUCUCUCUCUCUCUCUCUCUCUC
rnacentral:lncRNA from 1 species